AUGACAGCUUUUGUGGUCUUUUGUUUUCUCACAGGGCUUCCAAGGCAAGACCGGCCCUCCCGGGCCUCCGGGUGUCGUCGGCCCUCAGGGCGCCACUGGGGAGACGGGGCCCAUGGGAGAGCGGGGCCAUCCUGGGCCCCCCGGCCCCCCCGGAGAACAAGGCCUCCCUGGGCUGGCUGGCAAGGAAGGGACGAAGGGCGACCCAGGACCCGCCGGUCUUCCCGGAAAAGACGGCCCAGCUGGCUUGAGAGGCUUUCCAGGGGACAGAGGGCUUCCCGGGCCGAUUGGACCUGUCGGCCUCAAAGGCAACGAAGGGCCACCGGGGCCUCCUGGACCAGCGGGUUCCCCUGGGGAACGAGGUCCUGCUGGAGCCUCCGGCCCAAUCGGUCUACCAGGGAGGCCCGGACCUCAAGGGCCACCAGGCCCUGCCGGCGAGAAAGGAGCCCCGGGGGAGAAAGGCCCUCAAGGGCCAGCCGGGCGCGAUGGCAUCCAGGGGCCCGUGGGGCUCCCGGGCCCUGCGGGUCCUGUCGGCCCACCUGGGGAAGACGGAGACAAGGGCGAAAUCGGAGACCCCGGGCAGAAGGGGGGCAAAGGAGACAAAGGAGAACAGGUACGUGCGGUUUUGAGACGGGCGCCUGGCGUCCAUCCUUUUCGGUUCCUUGCAGGGUGGGGCUGCCCACGGUGGGCGGAAGCACCCCGGGCAUUUCCUCCUGCAAGAGGAGGGCGACCUGCUCUUCGAUGCCAGGCUCACCAAGUCAGUCGUGA
rnacentral:lncRNA from 1 species